CUGUGAGAUGGGGAGAGGCUGGGAAGGAGCAGGACCAGGGCUGUUCUCCCAGCAUCUCAGGGGUCAGUGCUGCUCAGAGCUGGAGCUUCCCAGCCAGAGAUGGGGCAGGAGCUGCUGCCAGAGCUCUUUGCCUGCUGGAGAAACCCAGCAGGCUUCAGUGGGCAGUGCCUGAUGGAUUCCGGUUGGCUCAGGGCGAUCCUUUCUCCAUCUGAAGGAGCAUCGCUCCUUCCUACAGCAUUCCCUGGCCCGAGGUGGUUUGUGUUCCCCUGUCUGGGCAGCUCAGAGUGGAGCCCUGCAGGAAGCAGAUGAGCAGAGCACUGAGAAGGCUCGUGGAGCUGGGAGACCCAGAUGAUCCCAGGACAAUCUGCCAUCCCCACGGAGCCAUUGGCGUGCACGGGGAGCAGCCUCCCCAUCCUCUCCCUGAUUUCCCCAACUCCGAGGAUCUGCAUCUGGGGCUGCAAGGAUGAAGUCAGCCCCGGAGCUGCUACGGGCUGGAAGUGAUUUCACCGAGCUGCAAUGCACAUGGAUUAAUUCCAGUACUGUAAAGUCAACAUGGGUAACACUGGCUACAUCACAGCCUUCAUUACUGGGGUCUGGAGCAGCUUUGGAUGAAGUAAUUUCCCUGGGGUUUAGCACUUCCAAAACAUAUAGGGCGUCCUUCUUGGAUUGGCCUGGAGAGAGGUGCCCCCCCCUCACAGCCACCCCAAAUUGGCCUUUAUCAGUUGCACAUGGACCCCUGUGACUGCGAGGGGCUUCAAACGAGGCCCAGAUGGGCCGUGGCACACGAUGCCCAAACACCGGACACAUGGAAUGAGGCUCAGCUCGAGUGCACACCAUGGAUGUUAUUAAUAACAAGUGAGACAACACUCCCAGGCCAGGCCUUCAAACGGGAGAGGAUGUGGGAUGAGUGGGGAUCAGCGAUUCCUCCAUCCUUCAUGGUCAAAUCCACUCCUGGAGGGUUUAGCGUUGGGAUUUUGACACCGGGAAGCCAACGCUCAUCAGGCUGCUCAGUUUGGAGUUUCCCAGAUUUGAAGUGAACCCUUUCUGUGAAGGAGGUUUAUUUUGUCUUUUUCCACCUCAGUUAUAAACUGGAACAGAAUCCUUGUCAUGUGCGAUUUGCUUCCUUAGCAAACAGUUCUGCAAAUGUGACUCAGUUUUGCCUGGGCACCAGAAUCUGCUCCCAGAUAGAAUUCCAGGGUGGUUUGGGCUGGGAAUGACUUUAAAUCCCAUCCAGUUCCAAAUUCUGGACAGCUUCCACUACCCCAGGGUGCUCCAAGCCCCAUCCAACCCAGCCUUACACAAUUCCAGGGAUGGGGCAACCACAGCUUCUCUGGGGACCCUUUGCCAGGGCCUCCCCACCCUCACAGCCAGGAAUUUCUUCCCAAUAUCCCAAUAUCCCAUCUAAAUAUCUGUCCAAUAUCCCAAUAUACCAAUAUACCAUCUAAACCCCACCUCUGCCAAUUUAAAUUCAAGUUCAGCUUCCUGCAUGAACCACCCCAUGAAAAGCAGCUUUACCUCCUUCAUUUGGCAUCAGGGGCUGGGUGAAAGGGCUUUUAAGGGUUAAUAAUGGGGUUCCCUCAUCCCCUAUUAAUUCAUUCACUUCCAAAAUCUCUUCCUUUCACAGCUUGAUAUUCAACAUCAGCAGCCAGGUCCUGGUUGCCUGGAAGGGGACAGAGCUUUGGAAUGGAUAUUAAGAAACAUUUCUUCAGGAAAAGGGUUGUGGAGUCCCCAUCUCUGGAGGGAUUUAAAAUCCAUGUGGAUGUGGCACUUGGGAACAUGGGUCAGUGGUGGCCCUGGCAGUGCUGGGAGUGAUUGGGCUCUGGGGAUCUCAGGGGGCUUUUCCAAGCUGUGGGUGCUGGGAUUUGGGGAUGGUAAUACAGGAACUUUGGGGUGCUAACACUGGGAUUUUGAGGUGCUAACGCUGGGGCUUGGGGCAUGGUGAUUCAGGGGUCUGAGGGUGAUAGCACAGGGAUUUGGGGAUGCUGACACUUGGAUUUGGGGGUGGUAACACAGGUUUGGAGGAUAUUUACACUGGAAUUUGGGGAAUUUUAACACUGGGAUUUAGGGAAUUUUAACACUGGAAUUUGGAGGUGAUGACUCUGGGAUUUGAGGGAUAUUAACACAGGGAUUUGGGGGAUUUUAACACUGGGAUUUGGGUGAUAUUAACAUCGGGUUUUGGGGGACAUUAACCCUGGGAUUUGGGGGAUUUUAACCCUGGGAUUUGGGGGUGCUGACCCCAGGCUAUGGGUGGUACCAGCCCCGCGCACGUCUUGGGAGCGCGGAGUUUUCCGCACAGCCCGCGGCUGAUCCAAGCCUCCCUCCUGCCAUCUGGAGGCGAGUCCCCGCUUUUCCUCAGCUCCCGAUCCUGCCAGAAGCCGAUUUAACUCCCUGCAGCAUCCCACAUAUUUCCCUGAUCUGGCGCUCAGUCCGUUCUCGGUUUCCUGGGAUGCUCAAUGGAAAUAUAAAAUUCUCUGGUUUUCGAGUAAAUAUAAUUUUCCAGUGAAUCCCAAAGGCAGCAUGUGCAGCCCAUCCCAUCCCGCUCAGCCGAGGGGAGGCAACACCACCUCGGGAUUAUUUUUACGAUCGGAAACAAGGAUUUCUCCCUCCCUGUUUUCUCUUGUGGAUGCUCUCGAGUUGAAACAUGGAAUUUCCUCUGAAACUCCAGCAGGGUGAAGGGGAUAGGUUUUCUCUCUCUUUUCCUAUAAAGAAAAUAUUUUAUACAAAAUAGACCCAUAAAUUCUAAUCUUAAACUAAAUUAUUCCCAGCAGUGCCAAUGGCAUCGCUGGCAUUGGGAUUGGGAUGGGACUGGAGCUGCCGACUCCUCUCAUGGUGACAAAAAGCAGGGACAGACCUCGGGCUCCUUCACAGUUUCUGUGCUGUGUUUUAUUGGAAAAUGUAGAAAAUUAAUUAAUUUUCUUGGAGUAUGAAGGAUAAAAGUUCACCUCAAAGAGCUGCUGACUCCCAGGGUUUAUUUAACUCCGAUUAUUAUUUAAUUCACAUUUUAGAAAAUCAUCAAUAAUAUCAUCCCACUCUUUAAUUACAUACUUGAAACCAUGUAAUAGAAAAUCAAAGGGAAGGGAAAUAUUCUGAUUUAAUUCCCAAAUGAGUGGUUUAGCAGCUUUGCAGUCACAGGGAUAUGGCUGCAGCCAGGGAAUGAUGAUCCCGGGGGAUGAGUGAAGCCGCAGCAGCCAAGGGAGCUCAGGUGGGGCUGGGAGAGCUCAGUUCUCUCCUUCCCCCUCCUUUCCUCAAUCAAAUAUCAAUAAAAUAAUUAUUUUUAAACAUUAAUUUUCAUUGGUUUUAUGUUAAGCCACAAUAUUUGCAUCAAAUGACUUUUUCAUCCAGUUCUAUUAGCAGUAAUUACCCGGAGUAUCCUGGGAUAAAAACAGUCAUUGUUACUUCCCAGAUUUUUCCUAAACUGCAUCCACAUUGUAGGAUUUUUUUGGAUAAUUCUCGUCUUUUUAAUUAAAAUUAUUAUAAUUUUCUCCCUCUA